UACGUAGGGUGCAAGCGUUGUCCGGAAUUACUGGGCGUAAAGAGCUCGCAGGCGGCCUGUCGCGUCGGCUGUGAAAACCCGGGGCUCAACCCCGGGCCUGCAGUCGAUACGGGCAGGCUAGAGUCCGGCAGGGGAGACUGGAAUUCCUGGUGUAGCGGUGAAAUGCGCAGAUAUCAGGAGGAACACCGGUGGCGAAGGCGAUUCUCUGGGCCGAUACUGACACUGAGAAGCGAAAGCGUGGGGAGCGAACAGG
rnacentral:rRNA from 1 species